rnacentral:rRNA from 1 species
GAGUUUGAUCCUGGCUCAGGACGAACGCUGGCGGCGUGCUUAACACAUGCAAGUCGAACGGAGUGCUCCGGAAAGAGAUUUCGGUCAAUGGAUGGAGUUACUUAGUGGCGGACGGGUGAGUAACGCGUGAGGAACCUGCCUUUCAGAGGGGGACAACAGUUGGAAACGACUGCUAAUACCGCAUAACGCAUGGGUAUCGCAUGGUAUCUGUGCCAAAGAUUUAUCGCUGAGAGAUGGCCUCGCGUCUGAUUAGCUAGUUGGUGAGGUAACGGCCCACCAAGGCGACGAUCAGUAGCCGGACUGAGAGGUUGGCCGGCCACAUUGGGACUGAGAUACGGCCCAGACUCCUACGGGAGGCAGCAGUGGGGAAUAUUGGGCAAUGGGCGCAAGCCUGACCCAGCAACGCCGCGUGAAGGAAGAAGGCUUUCGGGUUGUAAACUUCUUUUAAGAGGGAAGAGCAGAAGACGGUACCUCUUGAAUAAGCCACAGCUAACUACGUGCCAGCAGCCGCGGUAAUACGUAGGUGGCAAGCGUUGUCCGGAUUUACUGGGUGUAAAGGGCGUGUAGCCGGGCUGACAAGUCAGAUGUGAAAUUCCGGGGCUCAACCCCC